rnacentral:tRNA from 1 species
UUUGAUAAAGUUCUGUUGAAUAAAUGUGUUACAAACAUUAGGUUCUUUUAUUUUAAGAUGUCAAAA